CCAAUCUCUGCCCCUCAGAGCAUGCUCCGCAGAGCCAAAACACCCCAUAGUGCCGGAACUAGUUCCUCAUACAAGUCGACAGGGCCAACGUUUCCACCCCAUUGGCGGGAAUCCUAGACAAUAGUCACGCGGUCUCCAAAAUCACAUCCACAAUUUCCAACAAUCAAACUUAAUAUAAACAUAAGUUUUCAAAACCAAUAUCUACAUAAUAGAUUUUCAGAUGAUCGAUUUCCAGUCAAAAACAUGCUUUUAAUUAAUAAUGAUGCCAAGAAUAUAAAACAUAUCAAUAUGCUGGAAAUAAUCAUACACAUAUGCAUAAUACAUGUAAAUNNNNNNNNNNNNNNNNNNNNNNNNNNNNNUUCGCUUAAGAAUCCCUGUCACAGAUAUCACGAACCCCUGUUUAAAACAUAAACAUUAAUUAUUUAAUUAACUAAGAAACAUAAUUUUUAAACUAUUUCCAAUUCCUUAAACUCCUAAGUUCAUAGAUCCAAGAAUGGGCCCCUAAGAUCAAACAUAGACCCUAAAAUCAGAACCCUUUAAACCCAAGUCAAUUGUGGCCCAACACAGAUUAGGCCCAAUUGAACCAAACCAGAUAACAGGUUCAGAUCAGAUUUCGGGCCCAACCCAAACCAGCCCACAGAUCCAAUCAGGCCCAACUCAGCCCACAAACAGGUCCCUAGCCCAACCCAAACCAGGUCUGAUCAGACCAAAUUAGACUCAAGUCAGACUAACCCAAAUUUCUGACUCAGAUCCAAACCAUAACCCAAACCCAUUCACUCAAAUCCAGAUCAAACCAAAUACAAGGAUUUGGUGGAACCGGUUCAUAAUCUAAACCGGUUCAUGGUCUGAUCCCCACUUGAGGCACGGAUCUCAAAGCAAGGAAAAACCCAGGAAGGAGAAAGAAGAAGAAGAAGAAAGAGAAGAAGAAGGAAGAGAAGAAGA
rnacentral:lncRNA from 1 species